CUAUAUUCCUUCUUUCUGAUGGAUUCAUCUGUUCCCAUCUUCCUCAGUGCUCCCAGCGCCUAUUGGCUUCACAUUUGCCAGUACAGCACAUACACUUUACCUGUGCUUCCCGUUGCCCUGGCAAGAAGUAAAUACUACAGUCCAAUAUGAUCUUCAGUGUGUUGAAUCUGAGGGUGCAGAACCGUGGAUAUGGAGGAACCAAACUGGGUAGCCGGAAGCCCUGAUGCCAUCCCCAAACGAGAGCGCGUUGGAAGGUGAUGUAUUUAAGAUCGAGUAAGAACUGCAGAGGAAGACAAGGAAGAUGUUAACUGCUUUGGCCAGGAGUCAUCAGCACUUCAUCCCUGGGCUCAACGGGACUGUGGGAAUGAGUAGAAAACACUCCCCGGGGCAGUGCAAUGGUUGGGAAAGCUGAGCAGGGGGCAUCCCAUGCCUGCAGAGGGACAUCUUUUAAAAAAAAUUUUUAUAGACGUAUAAUUGACGUACAAUAUUAUAUUACUUUCAAGUAUACAACAUAGUGAUUUGAUAUUUUUAUAAGGAACAUCCUGUUUUAUACUGAAGUCUUACAGUUAAUAAAUUCAGGGUAGAUGGAUUUCUGUACUUGGAACAGAUGUGAUCCUCCCUCUGGGCAGGGAUGGGGCCUGUGAUUUUGUGCUUAUUAGGAUGCCACAGGCGUGGUUGGCACCGAAAGCAUGCUGCGGAAUAAUGAGGUAUCAAUUUUGUACCAUUGUUUCCAGCUUUUUUUCUGGCUGAAAAGAAAUAAACAAUUCCUGUUGCCUUU